UACGUAGGGUGCAAGCGUUGCCCGGAUUUAUUGGGCGUAAAGGGCGCGUAGGCGGCUCUGCACGUUCGUUGUGAAAUCGCCCGGCUCAACUGGGCGGGGUCAGCGGAUACGGCAGAGCUUGAGCAAGCUAGGGGGCAAUGGAAUUCCAGGUGUAGCGGUGAAAUGCGUAGAUAUCUGGAGGAACACCGGUGGCGAAGGCGGCAUCCUGGACCAACACUGACGCUGAGGAGCGAAAGCCAGGGGAGCAAACGGG
rnacentral:rRNA from 1 species